GCCAUCUUGACUUUAUUGCAGUUCAAGCAGGUUGAUUGUGAAUUCUCUCUCACGAACAUCCGAGCAUCUCCAGCCAACAGGAAAACUACAAUGGCAUUCCUCUCCGGGCUCGGAAGAACUUCUUGUUCUCCUGGUCUCUUUAGGAUGAUCCGCGCUGUCUUGUCCAUCCUGGUGAUGUUAGUGUGUCUUGCGCAUACGCUUCAGGUCAACACACAGGAUGACUACAAGAAGGCGAUUGAAGCUUUCGAAUUGUCCAUGAAUUCCUUGAAGGAACACCACAAAUUGAAGAAGGCCGCCCAAGCUGGCGAAUUAACAGAUCUAAAUCGUGCAAUGGACGCAAUGUUGGACGUCCUACAACAUGCUGGGCCUGAGUUUUCGGCAGCCAAGAAGGGUUUUGAGGCAUUGAAGGAGCAUGCUAAAGCUAAAUUGCUCCUGAACAAUGAAAACAAUGAGCUCCUUUGGGAGUCCUUCCAGGAGAAACUCGAGCGAACUAAAGACCUCCUUGAAACCAAGGUGAACAAAGAUGAAUUAUAAUCACACCUUAUUAACAUUAGCAUUAGUUGAUGCGUUGGUAAACAUUAUUAUACGGCAUUAGCAUAGGGAUAAGUGUGAGUGGGUCCUUCGUGCAUCACUGCGUCAAACACAGGAUGAUGGAGGCUUGAACCUGUUGGCCCGUGUCAGAAAGUGUCAGUCAGGGUCAGAUAGUUUAGGUUUCUGACUGCUUUAUUUUUUGUUUUUGUGGUUGUAUCAAGGUUUAACUGAGUGAACAUCUAUACAAAUGUCAUGAUGUUUUAGGUUUUGGGUCUUUCUUUUCACAAUAUCUGUUCUGUCAGCCUUUGUACAAGAUAUUGUAAACUCUCCUUAAU